UACGUAGGUGGCGAGCGUUAUCCGGAAUGAUUGGGCGUAAAGGGUGCGUAGGCGGCCUGCUAAGUCUGGAGUGAAAGGUACCGGCUCAACCGGUACAGGCUCUGGAAACUGGCGGGCUAGAGAGCAGGAGAGGGCGGUGGAACUCCAUGUGUAGCGGUAAAAUGCGUAGAUAUCGCGCAGAACCCCGAUUGCGAAGGCAGCGUACCGGCUCCACACUGACGCUGAGGCUCGAAAGCGUGGGGAGCAAACAGG
rnacentral:rRNA from 1 species